GACGAACGCUGGCGGCGUGCUUAACACAUGCAAGUCGAACGGCAAGGCCCUGCUUUUGUGGGGUGCUCGAGUGGCGAACGGGUGAGUAACACGUGAGUAACCUGCCCUUGACUUUGGGAUAACUUCAGGAAACUGGGGCUAAUACCGGAUAGGAGCUCCUGUUCCAUGGGGGGGGUUGGAAAGUUUCGGCGGUUGGGGAUGGACUCGCGGCUUAUCAGCUUGUUGGUGGGGGAGUGGCUUACCCAGGCUGUGACGGGUAGCCGGCCUGAGAGGGUGACCGGCCACAUUGGGACUGCGAUACGGCCCAGACUCGUACGGGAGGCAGCGGUGGGGAGUAUUGCACAGUGGGCGGGAGCGUGAUGCAGCAGCGCCGCGUGCGGGAUGACGGCCUUCGGGUUGUAAACCGCUUUCGCCUGUGACGAAGCGUGAGUGACGGUAAUGAGUAAAGAAGCACCGGCUAACUACGUG
rnacentral:rRNA from 1 species